GGAGGAAUGUGAUAUAGAAAACUCUCUAGCCGUGAAAGAAGUGGGGGAGAAUUAUUUUCUGUCAAGAGAGAAGACUAGGAACCAAGCUAUUAGGAGGACUUAGAAUAUCUAGAUUUCUUUAUUGGAUUAGAGGUAAGGGGAGCUACCAUUAUUGUGUGUUUUGAGAUAGUUUUGAAUCUCUUAUAUUUCUGCGACGUAUUUUGUUCGGUUAUACUUUUAAAUAUAUAUAGGUUUAAAUCAUUUAAGCGUCCCUAGUUUUGUUAGGUAUUCCCAAUUGGAUCCCUUUUUUUUUUAAGUUUCUCAAUUGAGUCCUUAUAAGUGCUAAUUUGAAACAAUUUAGCCC
rnacentral:lncRNA from 1 species